GGAUAGCUCCAGGUAACUGGAGAAUGGUCGAGGAGGCUUGACUGCCUCGGCCCCCAGGUUGGAUCACAAGUCCAGCAGGGGCAUGUCUCACCAAAUCCCGCGGCUGGGGUCGCACCCAGAAAAACAUCGGCAGAGUUGGAGUGAAAGCGAAGGCGAUGACGGUGUCCGUAGAAUGCGAAUUAGGGGUUUGCGAGGUUGGCAGCGAUAACUAAAGAAGCCGCAUGCUAACCAAGUCACGUUGGGGGGACGGUUUCGGUUCCCUUGGCGGACACAGUCGCUCCAAGAAAAGGGCGACGGUUGCUACUGUGAGAAGGUCAGGUGUUCGUGGUUGGUCUGGGUUGGGGGUCGUAAGAUCCUUGGUCCUAAGGUUUCCUCUAUGCGGGGGAAACGCGAAAAGGGCUGACGACGGGCAAACGGAGAUGGGAGAUCAGGCCGGCAGGCUUGGUCAACUGCCCAGCUCCGAGUUCGGGGGGCGGACCCGAGAGGGACGUCGCCCGGCUACGAGGAAAAAGCAACCUGAGAGGUAAGAAGCUAGACCCGUGGCAGAGGGCAAACGCGGCGCCAAAAGCGCUGGCCGUCCCUCUGACUCAAGGUGGUGACCCGCAAAACAACCCGUCACAGGGUAAUUCUCGUGGGUGGGUCAACACCGUGUGUGGCGCGCCCGUACCGGCAGGUACGGACCGAACCAGGCAAAGAGGCUUCACUCAAUAGAUCGCGAUCAGGGAUGGUCGCGGCGGCCCUGCUAUGAGGCCGAAACUUCUCCUGCGCCGUGAAGCGUGGGCGGUGAAUAGCGUCGGGGAACUGGCAGCCGAAGGAAAAAGCAGGAUGAAUCGAGAGAUUGGUCCAGGCGCCAAAUAGCCAGUCACUGGGAAAGAGAGCGUGGCGAACUCC
rnacentral:sRNA from 1 species